UAAUACAUGCAAGUUGAGCGAUGAAGAUUGGUGCUUGCACCAAUUUGAAGAGCAGCGAACGGGUGAGUAACGCGUGGGGAAUCUGCCUUUGAGCGGGGGACAACAUUUGGAAACGAAUGCUAAUACCGCAUAAUAACUUUAAACAUAAGUUUUAAGUUUGAAAGAUGCAAUUGCAUCACUCAAAGAUGAUCCCGCGUUGUAUUAGCUAGUUGGUGAGGUAAAGGCUCACCAAGGCGAUGAUACAUAGCCGACCUGAGAGGGUGAUCGGCCACAUUGGGACUGAGACACGGCCCAAACUCCUACGGGAGGCAGCAGUAGGGAAUCUUCGGCAAUGGACGAAAGUCUGACCGAGCAACGCCGCGUGAGUGAAGAAGGUUUUCGGAUCGUAAAACUCUGUUGGUAGAGAAGAACGUUGGUGAGAGUGGAAAGCUCAUCAAGUGACGGUAACUACCCAGAAAGGGACGGCUAACUACGUGCCAGCAGCCGCGGUAAUACGUAGGUCCCGAGCGUUGUCCGGAUUUAUUGGGCGUAAAGCGAGCGCAGGUGGUUUAUUAAGUCUGGUGUAAAAGGCAGUGGCUCAACCAUUGUAUGCAUUGGAAACUGGUAGACUUGAGUGCAGGAGAGGAGAGUGGAAUUCCAUGUGUAGCGGUGAAAUGCGUAGAUAUAUGGAGGAACACCGGUGGCGAAAGCGGCUCUCUGGCCUGUAACUGACACUGAGGCUCGAAAGCGUGGGGAGCAAACAGGAUUAGAUACCCUUGGUAGUCCAAAGGGACAGUUUCAGGACGGCUAUACAC
rnacentral:rRNA from 1 species